rnacentral:rRNA from 1 species
CCAACAGGGAUUGCCUCAGUAACGGCGAGUGAAGCGGCAACAGCUCAAAUUUGUAAUCUGGCUCCUUCGGGGUCCGAGUUGUAAUUUGUAGAGGAUGUUUCGGGUGCGGCGCCGGUCGAAGUCCCUUGGAACAGGGUGUCACAGAGGGUGAGAAUCCCGUACGUGGCCGGCAACCAAGCCCAUGUGAAACUCCUUCGACGAGUCGAGUUGUUUGGGAAUGCAGCUCAAAAUGGGUGGUAAAUUUCAUCUAAAGCUAAAUACCGGCCAGAGACCGAUAGCGCACAAGUAGAGUGAUCGAAAGAUGAAAAGCACUUUGGAAAGAGAGUUAAAAAGUACGUGAAAUUGUUGAAAGGGAAGCGCUUGCGACCAGACCUGCCCGUGGGUGCUCAGCGGUGGUUCUCCGCCGUGCACUCGCCCACGAUCAGGCCAGCAUCAGUUCUGGCGACCGGAUAAAGACCCGAGGAAUGUGGCUCCUCUCGGGGAGUGUUAUAGCCUCGGGUGUCAUACGGCCAGCUGGGACUGAGGACCGCGCUUCGGCAAGGAUGCUGGCAUAAUGGUCGUAAGCGACCCGUCUUGAAACACGGACCAAGGAGUCUAACAUCUAUGCAAGUGUUUGGGUGUCAAACCCAUGCGCGCAAUGAAAGUGAACGAUGGUCAGAGCCCUUUGGGUGCAUGAUCGACCGAUCUUGAAGUUUACGGAUGGAUUUGAGUAUGAGCAUAGCUGUUGGGACCCGAAAGAUGGUGAACUAUGCCUGAAUAGGGUGAAGCCAGAGGAAACUCUGGUGGAGGCUCGCAGCGGUUCUGACGUGCAAAUCGAUCGUCAAAUUUGGGUAUAGGGGCGAAAGACUAAUCGAACCAUCUAGUAGCUGGUUCCUGCCGAAGUUUCCCUCAGGAUAGCAGUAACGUAUUCAGUUUUAUGAGGUAAAGCGAAUGAUUAGGAGCCUAGGGGAUGUAACAUCCUUUACUCAUUCUCAAACUUUAAAUAUGUAAGAAGUCCUUGUUACUUAAUUGAACGUGGACAUUUGAAUGUACCGUUACUAGUGGGCCAUUUUUGGUAAGCAGAACUGGCGAUGCGGGAUGAACCGAACGUGGGGUUAAGGUGCCGGAAUGCACGCUCAUCAGACACCACAAAAGGUGUUGAUUCAUCUAGACAGCCGGACGGUGGCCAUGGAAGUCGGAAUCCGCUAAGGAGUGUGUAACAACUCACCGGCCGAAUGAAUCAGCCCUGAAAAUGGAUGGCGCUCAAGCGUGCUACCUAUACCCCGCCGCCAGGGUAGAAACGAUGCCCUGGCGAGUAGGCAGGCGUGGGGG